GCUCGAACAUUUUUGUGGUUUUUUGUGAAAAUAUUGAAUUUUAACAUGCCGAAAGUGAUCAAAAGUGAUAUCAGAGAGGUGUUGCUAAAGGUAAAAGAGUUUUUCUUAAAAGAAAAACAAGCUACAGCUCCGAUUAUUCCAUUUGAAAAGGUAAAUGAUCGAGUCGCCGCUGCUACAGGCAUAUCACUGCGCACAGUGACAAGAAUUAUAGGUGAAGGAAGAUUGGCCGAAGCUUCAUCAAGUAAAAUUGUUACACCAGGGAAGAACAGGAAAAAAAGGAAAGACAAAAUAUUGAUGGAUGAUUUUGAUAUUAGUGUUUUGCGGCGUAAAAUCCAUGAAUUUUAUACUAUGAAAAGGAAAUUCCUACAGCGAAUAAAUUAUAUUGUGCUCUUAAGGAAGACAUUGGAUUUAAAGGCAGGGUAAAGGUUUAUAAUAGUCCAUGCUGGCGGUGAGCAAGGCUUUGUGGAGAAUGCCUGCUUGGUAUUUAAAUCACAAACAAAAAGUGGAGAUUAUCAUGAUGACAUGAAUCACACAAAUUUCAAAAAAUGGGUUACUGAAAAUGUAGCAUCCAAUUUAAACCAACCGAGUCUUAUUGUGAUGGAUAAUGCUCCAUAUCACAAUACAAGCAUAAACAAAGCACCUAACACAAAUUCAAGAAAGGGAGUAAUACAGGAAUGGUUAUCAAGAAAUCAUAUUGAAUAUUCACCACUAUACAAUACCACCAAUUAUUGGAAAUUGUAAAAAUAAAUAAGCCGGAUCAGGCCACAAGGUAUUUUACUAAUAUAUUGUCACCUAAUAUAAUAUUAACAAAUAUAUUUUUAUUUAAUCUCCGGAAUCGAAUGAUAACAGUUUGGUAUUUAAAGGAUACAAGAUUACUUGAUGCAAUAAAAAGGUAUUGCGUUUACCACCAUAUCAUUGUGAUCUCAACCCCAUUGAAAUGGUCUGGGCUUCAAUGAAACGCAAAGUGGCUAUGGUGAACAUUGGGAAAGUGGCUAAUGUAAUGCCAAGUAUGGUAAUGAAUGCAUUUAAUGCUAUUACUGUUGGGGAGUGGCGCAAUUAUUGUUCGCACGUCAAAAAAAUACAAAAAGAGUAUCACAUAAGGGACGCGCAUUUGGACGUACCAUUCAUCAUAAUAAUAAUAUUGACACACUUUUUACACAAAUUAUCUUGCCCCAAGUCAAGCAUAUAUAGCCUGUGUUAUGGGUUACAAGACAAUGAUAUAUUUAAUACAAUAUACUUACUUAAACAUACAUAAAUUUAUAUAAACAUACAUAAAUACAUUUAAACAUCCAUGACUCGGAAACAAUCAGUCAUAGACUUAGCCUCUGAUAGUGAAGAAAGCAGCGAUAGUGAAGA